ensembl:lncRNA
GAAGUGUUAAGAACAGCUGAUCGGAUCGGCAAAGCGUGUUUCUGGAAUAUUAUGUUUUGUUACUGCAAGCGCUUUUUAUGCAGUUUUGCAAAGCUAUAUGUGGAAGGAAACCGUGACCUAGGACAAGCUGAUGGCAUAAAAUGGAAGCACGUUUUCUUUCUGGCUGCUUCUCUGUGGUCUGACCAGGAACUAACUCAUCCUUAUUCUAGAAAGUGAACCACAACAUGUGGCAACAGAGCCCACAAACAUGAGCUCAUUCCUCUUGAGGGGAAACUAGCAACUGAAAAAAACAGAGAUAGAAAGAGA